AAUUUUGGACAAUGGGCGCAAGCCUGAUCCAGCCAUGCCGCUAGAGUUCAUAAGGCCUUCGGGUUGUAAAGCUCUUUCGGACGGAAAGAAAUUGCGCAGGCUAAUACCCUGCGCGGAUGACGGUACCGCAAUAAGACGUACUGGCUAACUACGUGCCAUCAGCCGCGGUAAUACGUAGGGUGCGAGCGUUAACCGGAAUUACUGGGCGUAAAGCGUGCGUAGGCGGUUGAUUAAGACAGGCGUGAAAUCCCCGGGCUUAACCUGGGAACUGCGCUUGUGACUGGUCAGCUAGAGUACGGCAGAGGGGGGUGGAAUUCCACGUGUAGCAGUGAAAUGCGUAGAGAUGUGGAGGAACACCGAUGGCGAAGGCAGCCCCCUGGGCCGAUACUGACGCUCAUGCACGAAAGCGUGGGUAGCAAACAGG
rnacentral:rRNA from 1 species